UACGUAGGGGGGCAAGCGUUGUCCGGAUUUAUUGGGCGUAAAGAGCGUGUAGGGCGGCCCUGAAAGGUCAGCUGUGAAAACUCGAGGCUCAACCUCGAGACGUCGGUUGAAACCAUCUGGCUAGAGUCCGGAAGAGGAGAGUGGAAUUCCCGGUGUAGCGGUGAAUGCGCAGAUAUCGGGAAGAACACCGUGGCGAAGGCGGCUCUCUGGACCGGCACUUGACG
rnacentral:rRNA from 1 species